AUUGAACGCUGGCGGCAGGCCUAACACAUGCAAGUCGAACGAGUGGCGGACGGGUGAGUAAUGUCUGGGAAACUGCCUGAGGGAGGGGGAUAAAUACUGGAAACGGUAGCUAAUACCGCAUACCAUCAGAUGUGCCCAGAUGGGAUUAGCUUGUGGGUGGGGUAACUCCUCACCAAGGCGACGAUCCCUAGCUGGUCUGAGAGGAUGACGAGCCACGCGGGAACUGAGACACGGUCCAUACUCCUACGUGAGUCAGCAGUGGGGAAGAGUGAACAAUGGGCGCAAGCCUGAUGCAGCCAUGCCGCGUGUAUGAAGAAGGCCUUCUGUUUGUAAAGUACUUUCAGCGGGGAGGCGUUACCCGCAGAAGAAGCACCGGCUAACUCCGUGCCAGCAGCCGCGGUAAUUC
rnacentral:rRNA from 1 species